GCCAGCCCACGUUCGGUCAGCAGUCCCCAGGCCGCACCGCCGCUCACGUCACUUCCUUUGGCGCCCCUCCCAGUGACGUCAGUGGCGUCGCCCCGCCCAUCUCCCGGAGGGGGAAGUACGGAGGCGGGCGGGGAAGGAGGAGUUCCUGCCUCAAAUUAGCGUCGGAAGCCCUUCCCAGCUGUGAGGACCGUGGGGUCGCUAGCUGAGCUCGCCCUCCACACGGAGGGACCCGGCUCGCCGUGGCUUUGAUGGUCAGGAGGCGCCUCUGAAAGGCGAAUGGUGUAGCCGGCCCUGGAGAACUCGGCUAGGUGGAGCCCCCGGAUGGGCGUGCCGCGCCUCGGCGCUCCGCUUCAGGAGCCCCUCUUCGUUACGCGGGCGCUAAGAAACUUAACCCUGAAACUGAGCUCGCUCCUCCUUACCGGUGCUUAUCUAGAUGCUGUUACCCGACCUGGACCCGCCUCCCUGCCUGCUCUCCUGAAUUAACUACCCUUCCAGACCGUGUUAGGAGGCCACAUCCUUUCUGAAACACCUGUGUUCGUUUUCUGUUGCUGCUGUAAUGGCUCCUGAGGAACUGAGGCCCUCGGUCCAACAGCCCACAAGAAGCUACAUGAGUGAGCUUGGCAUCAAACACCCCCGUGGAGCCCCAAGAUGCCUGCAGGCGUGCAAGACUAAGCAGAGGACCGGCUGAGCUGCACCCACAUUUCUGACCUGCAGAGACUAUGAGAACUCCCAAGAAACUUGGGCUGCCCCAGAAGUCUCAAGCCCCAUCCCUACCCCACGACGUGAGCUCCAAGCUGCAGACAGCAGACACGCUGGAGAACUUGUCUAAACUGAAUUUACGUUCACCCUGCCCCCAGUCACCUACGAGUCACUACAGAUUACACCUUCUCUCUUACCCUCCAUCCAUGGGAGACUCAGUGCCAUCAACUCUGCAGCCCUCACCACUCUCAGAUCUGUUCCCCUUUUCCAUCCCACUGCUCCUCCCACGGUGACUCAAAACCAGUCACCUGAACCCUAACAGAGGUGUCCUAGUUGGGCUCCCUGUCCCCCAUCUUCCCUCUCUCCAAUCCAUGUGCUGGUGUCCCCCACCCCCACCUGCAGGACGGAGUCUGCAUUCAUUAGGAUGACGUCCAAGGUGGGCCAUGGUUUGGCCCCUGCUUCUCUCUCCAGGUCCAUCUCUUGGGGCGCCUCCUCCUUCCUCUACUGCCCCAAACUCCAGCUGCACCCAAUCUGCAGAGUGCUGAACAUCUCAGCCUGCCAGAUGCCUCCCGUCUCAGUGCCUUGUUUACUCCCCCUGACUGGAAUGUUCUUCCCCCAUUUGGGCCAACUGCAAACACUCCCCUUUCGCGAGUCAGCGCUAGCCUAGGGAGCCUGGACCCUCAGGGUGGAAUGACCACUUCCUCUCUUGAGCCUCAGCUGAACCCGACCGAAUCUGUAGAGACUCCUAUUGUAACUCAUGCUUUUUCUCCAAAUAUUUCACAUCAGCCCUCCUCCUACUACUAUAUAUUCCUUGAGGACAGGAAAACCUCACUUGUUUUCUUAGUUCACCAGCUUCUAACACAGUUCUUAAUACAUGUUACAUGAAUUUAUAAAUGAACAUACACCCCCUACAUACACCCAGACUCUAAGAUUUCAAGGCUGGGAACGUGAUUGGACCACUCAGAGCUACAGCUGGUAGGAAGAGUUGAUUUUUGAGAUAAAUGGGGUGCGCUAUAGAGGUCUGAGCUCCGAGUGAUGGGAUCCCAUGGUGCCUAUCAGACUUCUCAGAGGGGGACUGAAGAAAUGAGAGUGAUUAAUGCCAAGAUGGGUGUCAGAAAAGAAGUUAUUUUUCUCUGUUUUAAUUUUCUUUUAUUAUCAAACCUACACAACCCCAUAGCACAAAGCAAAGCUUUCUAAACGUUAAAACGCAUCCCUGGGGCUUAAAACCCUAAAUCAGAGGACAUAAAUGAAGACUUGGUACACUGCUUCUGAAAGCCUGCCAAUUUCUGUGCCAACCGCCAGGAAGCCAGCACAGAUGCCUCCUUGGAGCCCUGAGAGCCUCCAGCAUGUUUUCCAAGUCUGGCUACUUAAACAGGUGUCCCAAGGGCCCUGGACAAGGAGGAGGUCCUUGUCUACUCAUUAACCCCGGAAACAAAGCAAACCAAAGGCACAGUGUGUGACUUUGCUAAUUCUUCUGGAGUUCGGCCAUUGACUGUGGCACAGAUAAUGCUAUAUGUUCCACCAGACUCAUUUCAUUUUCAUCCCAGACACUAAGGAAGACUGCCUUCCCCGAGCUCCCUCGUAGUUACACUGGGCCCGUGUGAUUAAAGCUCUGACCUGUAGACUGGGAAGAAGUGAUAUAUAUCACUUCCAGACCUGGCCACAGAAUCCUUUACAUGACCCUCCGUGUUCUCUCUCCCCAUUCCACGCUGACCCCAGAUGACAAAUUUGGGAGGAAACUGGGUCCCUGAAUAACUAUGGAGUAGAGCUGCCACUCACUCCCUCAGUUCACCUGCAUGGAGCUUUCAUAUAAGCAAAAAAUAACAUUGUUGCAUUAAGUCACUGAGAUUUGGAUACUCUUUGUUAUAUCAGCUAGCAUCACCUACCCUGACUGAGAUACUACAUUAGCCACAACGCACUGGGAAAAUACUCGUCCAUUCAGCAUUUACUAAGCAGCUGCUCAUGGCAAAAACUCUUGUGUGCUAUUUACAACUGAGGGAGAGAAUUCACCUGUUGCA